rnacentral:rRNA from 1 species
GACCAGACUCCUACGGGAGGCAGCAGUGGGGAAUAUUGCACAAUGGGGGAAACCCUGAUGCAGCGACGCCGCGUGAGUGAAGAAGUAAUUCGUUAUGUAAAGCUCUAUCAGCAGGGAAGAAAAUGACGGUACCUGACUAAGAAGCCCCGGCUAACUACGUGCCAGCAGCCGCGGUAAUACGUAGGGGGCAAGCGUUAUCCGGAUUUACUGGGUGUAAAGGGAGCGUAGACGGCUGGCCAAGUCUGAAGUGAAAGCCCGGGGCUUAACCCCGGAACGGCUUUGGAAACUGGCCGGCUGGAGUGCUGGAGAGGCAGGCGGAAUUCCUGGUGUAGCGGUGAAAUGCGUAGAUAUUAGGAGGAACACCAGUGGCGAAGGCGGCCUACUGGACGGUGACUGACGCUGAGGCUCGAAAGCGUGGGGAGCAAACAGGAUUAGAUACCCUUGUA